ACCUCCGUGGUGUAGUGGUAGCACCGUCUUCGCUAUGAAUAAAACGCGGGUUCGACUCCCGUCUGAGGUC